rnacentral:rRNA from 1 species
GACGAACGCUGGCGGCGUGCUUAACACAUGCAAGUCGAACGGAAAGGCCCUGCUCUUGUGGGGUGCUCGAGUGGCGAACGGGUGAGUAACACGUGAGUAACCUGCACUUGACUUUGGGAUAACUUCAGGAAACUGCGGCUAAUAUCCGAUAGGAGCUCCUGCAGCAUGGGGGGGGUUGGAAAGUUUCGGCGGUUGGGGAUGGACUCGCGGCUUACCGGCUUCUUGGUGGAGUAGGCGUUUACCAAGGUUUUGACGGAUAGCCGGCCUGAGAGCGUGGCCAGCGACAAUAGGACUGAGGUACGGACCAGACGCGAACGGGAGGCAAUAGUGGGGAAUAUUACACAAUAGGCGGGCGUGAGAUGCAACGACGCCGGGUGCGGGAUGACGUGCUUCGGGUUAAGAACCGCUUUCGCAUUAAACGAAGCGUGAGUGACGGUAAUGGGUAAAGAAGCACCGGCUAACUACGUG